AAGUCGUAACAAGGUUUCCGUAGGUGAACCUGCGGAAGGAUCAUUACCUGGCCUUGGGCCACUCCCGCACGGCGCUCGCGCCCUCGGGCGUGCUUAGCCCUCGACCCUCCCCUUGACUAUGCGUACCUUUGUUGUUUCCUCGGCAGGUCUCCUGCCGCCAGGAGCCCCCUAUAACCCCUUUGCAAUGGCCUCGAAACUGAAACAAACCACAAUCAUUUACAACUUUCAACAAUGGAUCUCUUGGUUCUG
rnacentral:misc_RNA from 1 species